rnacentral:snRNA from 1 species
GUUAUAUUGUUGGGUAAA